rnacentral:misc_RNA from 1 species
GAUGAAGAACGUAGCGAAAUGCGAUACGUAAUGUGAAUUGCAGAAUUCAGUGAAUCAUCGAAUCUUUGAACGCAUAUUGCGCUCUCUGGUAUUCCGGAGAGCAUGCUUGUUUGAGUAUCAGUAAACACCUCAACUCCCUUUUCUUUUUUGAAAUUGGAGCUGGACUUGAGUGAUCCCAACGCUUUCUUCCAAGAAAGUGGCGGGUUGCUUGAAAUGCAGGUGCAGCUGAACUUUUCUCUGAGCUAUAAGCAUAUCUAUUUAGUCUGCCUAAAAAACAGAUUAUUACCUUUGCUGCAGCUAACAUAAAGGAGACUAGUUCUUGUGCUGACUGAUGCAGGAUUCACAGAGACAGCUUCGGCUGACUUUGUAAACUCGAUCUCAAAUCAAGUAAGACUACCCGCUGAACUUAAGCAUACAAUAGCGGAGGA